rnacentral:rRNA from 1 species
CCUACGGGGGGCAGCAGUGGGGAAUAUUGGACAAUGGGGGCAACCCUGAUCCAGCCAUGCCGCGUGUGUGAAGAAGGCCCUCGGGUUGUAAAGCACUUUCAGUGAGGAAGAAUGCCUGGUGGUUAAUACCCAUCAGGAAAGACAUCACUCACAGAAGAAGCACCGGCUAACUCCGUGCCAGCAGCCGCGGUAAUACGGAGGGUGCGAGCGUUAAUCGGAAUUACUGGGCGUAAAGCGCGCGUAGGUGGCUUGAUAAGCCGGUUGUGAAAGCCCCGGGCUCAACCUGGGAACGGCAUCCGGAACUGUCAAGCUAGAGUGCAGGAGAGGAAGGUAGAAUUCCCGGUGUAGCGGUGAAAUGCGUAGAGAUCGGGAGGAAUACCAGUGGCGAAGGCGGCCUUCUGGACUGACACUGACACUGAGGUGCGAAAGCGUGGGUAGCAAACAGGAUUAGAUACCCCUGUAGUC